GUGGAGUAGGCAAUGGCGGUGGUGGUGGAGUAGGCAAUGGCGGUGGUGGUGGAGUAGGCAAUGGCGGUGGUGUAGGAAAUGGAAGCGGUGGUGUAGGAAAUGGAAGCGGUGGUGGGAUAGGCAAAGGCGGAUAUGGAAGAGACAUGGUGGAUAAUUUACGGAUGAACACUGUGUCUUGAAAACUUCAGUAUUUUGUUAGUUAGUAAAGGUGUUCUUAUUUGGAGUGAAAAUAUUUUAUUAAUAAUAGAAUAAUACAACUUCAUAUUUCAUAAUUGUUAGGAUUGACUUUGCUAUAUAGUUUCGUGCAUUGAAAACUAUAAUUUUUCUUUUGAG
rnacentral:sRNA from 1 species